CAGAUUCAGCGUAAAAAUCCCUGCAAACACGCUCAUAAACGAGAAUCAUGGAAUGCAGAAUAUUUCUUCUUCUGUUUUCAGGACUCUGUACACUGUCCUCAUGUUUCCCUC